GGGAUUGCCCUAGUAACGGCGAGUGAAGCGGCAACAGCUCAAAUUUGAAAUCUGGCUUUCGGGCCCGAGUUGUAAUUUGUAGAGGAUGAUUUUGAUGCGGUGCCUUCCGAGUUCCCUGGAACGGGACGCCAUAGAGGGUGAGAGCCCCGUCUGGUUGGAUGCCAAAUCUCUGUAAAUCUCCUUCGACGAGUCGAGUAGUUUGGGAAUGCUGCUCUAAAUGGGAGGUAUAUGUCUUCUAAAGCUAAAUACCGGCCAGAGACCGAUAGCGCACAAGUAGAGUGAUCGAAAGAUGAAAAGCACUUUGAAAAGAGAGUUAAAAAGUACGUGAAAUUGUUGAAAGGGAAGCGUUUAUGACCAGACUUGGGCUUGGUUAAUCAUCUGGGGUUCUCUCCAGUGCACUUUUCCAGUCCAGGCCAGCAUCAGUUUUCGCCGGGGGAUAAAGGCUUCGGGAAUGUGGCUCCCCUCGGGGAGUGUUAUAGCCCGUUGUGUAAUACCCUGGUGGGGACUGAGGUUCGCGCUUCUGCAAGGAU
rnacentral:rRNA from 1 species